AAUUGUCUGUAGCAGGGAAGGGAGGAACAAGUAUGGAGCCAUGAGACGGCAGUGCGCUUGGUUUCUGUUCCACAUGAGUCAUCAUUUGUCUUCACUAAACUGGGAACUCCCUGAGUGUAAGGAUAGUGCUUUCUAAAGCUCUCACAGGACUCGCAAAAUAGAACAGGGCUGUCCCACAGUUGAAAGGCUGCGCAGCCCAGGGAUCUCAUUAGAAGAAAAUGAAGUCAGAGAAGGCAACUCUUGCUUAAAGAUGCACGGUGGGAAGUGCUAGGCUGGAAUCCAGGGCUCUGGGUUCCACAAUGAUGGACUGGGCAUUUUUUAAAGAUCUAACUGGCAUUAUGAGCAACCUGCACAUGCUGAGGGGUUGACGAACGGACCCGAAUUUGGGGCACUGUGGCAGGUCUCUGCAGACGCAGUGCCUGAGAGGAAGUGAGGGAGAGGAUGGCUGGUUGUCAAAUAUGUACCUCGUGCCCUUAAGCCAGGCUGCAUGGCUUACAAGGCAUUUCACCUCUGAGCUGUCACCGGGAAAGAGCUCCAACUUUCAGGGAGAAGAUACUGAUGAGGCAACAGAAGCUCAGAUGGAAGGACAGUCAAGCUGGAGGAGACCUAUCAGGGCAGUGGCAGCGUCAGACCUGUCUCUUCCCUGUCCCCAGCAGCAUGUGGCCCUGAGUACUCUCCUGGUUCUUUCUCUGGGUUCAUCCUCUGACUUUUCUAGGAAGCCCGCCCUGGUUGCUCCAGCCCAUGUGGUCUUACUCCAUGAGUUUCCCGAAUUCAGAGUGCUUACUGGCUACUCUCUGUGUGUAGAAGCCUUGUGACAUCUCUGGAAAUGUUUCAUGUGGUGAUUCAUUAUUUCCUAGCUCCAUAAACAGAGGCAAAUGACUUAACUUUGGCCCUGUCUACAGUAGCUGCUCAAAUGUUUGGAGUCUGACAGUCUUAAGCCAGAGCGAUCCAUCCUAGAGAGAUCAGGGAUUCUGAGCAGACCUGUUCCAGGAGACCACUCCACUUUGCUGAUGGAUUUGAGGCAUAAGCAAAGGAAAAACUGGGUGUCAUCCCAAUCUGGACCAGUCUGAUCUCUCACCAUGAAGUCUCAGGG